rnacentral:rRNA from 1 species
UACAGAGGGCCCGAGCGUUGAUCGGAAUCACUGGGCUUAAAGGGUUUGUAGGCGGAUUGACAAGUGCUUUGUGAAAUCCCACGGCUUAACCGUGGAAUUGCUUGGCAGACUGUCAGUCUUGAGCACGACAGGGGCCAUCAGAACGCUAGGUGGAGCGGUGAAAUGCGUAGAUAUCUAGCGGAAUGCCGAAGGUGAAGACAGAUGGCUGGGUCGUUGCUGACGCUCAGAAACGAAAGCAUGGGUAGCGAACGGG